GACGAACGCUGGCGGCGUGCCUAAUACAUGCAAGUAGAACGCUGAAGAGAGGAGCUUGCUCUUCUUGGAUGAGUUGCGAACGGGUGAGUAACGCGUAGGUAACCUGCCUUGUAGCGGGGGAUAACUAUUGGAAACGAUAGCUAAUACCGCAUAACAAUGGAUGACACAUGUCAUUUAUUUGAAAGGGGCAAUUGCUCCACUACAAGAUGGACCUGCGUUGUAUUAGCUAGUAGGUGAGGUAACGGCUCACCUAGGCGACGAUACAUAGCCGACCUGAGAGGGUGAUCGGCCACACUGGGACUGAGACACGGCCCAGACUCCUACGGGAGGCAGCAGUAGGGAAUCUUCGGCAAUGGGGGCAACCCUGACCGAGCAACGCCGCGUGAGUGAAGAAGGUUUUCGGAUCGUAAAGCUCUGUUGUAAGUCAAGAACGAGUGUGAGAGUGGAAAGUGCACACUGUGACGGUAGCUUACCAGAAAGGGACGGCGACUACGUG
rnacentral:rRNA from 1 species